UGGGGGAUAUUGCACAAUGGAGGAAACUCUGAUGCAGCAAUGCCGCGUGAGGGAAGAAGAUUUUCGGAUUGUAAACCUCUGUCCCAGCCGAAGAAACGAAUGACGGUAGGCUGGGAGGAAGCUCCGGCUAACUACGUGCCAGCAGCCGCGGUAAUACGUAGGGGGCGAGCGUUAUCCGGAAUUACUGGGUGUAAAGGGUGUGUAGGCGGCUAGGCAAGUCAGGCGUGAAAUGUACAGGCUUAACCUGUGAACUGCGUUUGAAACUGCAUAGCUUGAGUAGAGUAGAGGGGGGUAGAAUUCCAGGUGUAGCGGUGAAAUGCGUAGAGAUCUGGAGGAAUACCGGUGGCGAAGGCGGCCCCCUGGACGAAGACUGACGCUCAGGUGCGAAAGCGUGGGGAGCAAACAGG
rnacentral:rRNA from 1 species